UACGUAGGGGGCGAGCGUUAUCCAGAUUUAUUGGGCGUAAAGAGCGUGUAGGCGGCCUGACAGGUCUGCUGUGAAAACUCGAGGCUCAACCUCGAGAUGUCGGCGGAAACCGUCUGGCUAGAGUCCGGAAGAGGAGAGUGGAAUUCCUGGUGUAGCGGUGAAAUGCGCAGAUAUCAGGAAGAACACCUAUGGCGAAGGCAGCUCUCUGGGACGGUACUGACGCUGAGACGCGAAAGCGUGGGGAGCGAACAGG
rnacentral:rRNA from 1 species